rnacentral:rRNA from 1 species
UACGAAGGGGGCUAGCGUUGCUCGGAAUUACUGGGCGUAAAGCGCACGUAGGCGGCUUCUUAAGUCGGUGGUGAAAUCCUGGAGCUCAACUCCAGAACUGCCUUUGAUACUGAAGAUCUUGAGUCCGGGAGAGGUGAGUGGAACUGCGAGUGUAGAGGUGAAAUUCGUAGAUAUUCGCAAGAACACCAGUGGCGAAGGCGGCUCACUGGCCCGGUACUGACGCUGAGGCACGAAAGCGUGGGGAGCAAACAGG